UCCGUAGGUGAACCUCGGAGGGAUCAUUACUGAG
rnacentral:rRNA from 1 species